CAGAGGGCCGGACGCACGCCGAGGCGGAUGCGGUGCCUGUCCCCGCCCGGCGGCUCGGGGGAGGUGCUGGGCCGGGCUGAGCCGCGCCACGACGCCUCCUGCAGCUGCCCGGGACGAGGGCUGGUGCUGCCGGGCUGAAUAAUGUUUCCAACAUGUCUGUGCAGUCACUGCUUUGUGAAAGAAUUGCUCUUGCCAAAGAAUUGAUCAAGAGAGCAGAAGCCCUUUCCAGGUCCCAGAAAAGGAGAAUAGAAGGUGGGGCAAAACUGUGCAGCAAACUGAAGGCUGAGCUAAACUUCUUACACAAGGUAGAAGCAGGGAAGGUGGCCGUUAAAGAAUCCCAUCUGCAAAGUACAAACCUUACCCAUCUCCAGGCCAUUAUUCAGUCAGCGGAGAACCUGGAGGAUGUUGUCAGUGUCCUCCAUGUCUUUGCUUAUGAGGACAGGUUUGGAGACAAGCAGACGCUCAUGGUGGAUGUUGUUGCAAAUGGAGGUCACACAUGGGUGAAGGCCAUCGGCCGUAAGGCUGAGGCUCUGCAUAACAUCUGGCUGGGGAGAGGCCAGUAUGGUGACAAAAGCAUCAUUGAGCAGGCAGAGGACUUCUUGCAAGCCAGCCAUCAGCAGCCAGUGGAGUACAGCAAUCCCCACAUAAUCUUUGCCUUCUACAACAGCGUGUCCAGUCCUAUGGCAGAGCGGCUCCAGGAGAUGGGAAUAUCUGUGCGAGGAGACAUUGUAGCUGUGAACUCACUGGCAGAGCCAUCCACAGAACACCAGCACCUUAGCACCAGUGAAUCGGAUGAGGAAGGCCCCGAACUCCUACAGGUGACCAGAGUAGACCGGGAGAAUUUAGUGGCCAGAGUUGCUUUUCCUACUCAGAUUAAAGUAAACGUGUGCAAUAGAGUUAACUUGGACAUCACUACCUUAAUAACCUAUGUCUCUGCUCUGAGCUAUGGUGGCUGUAACUUCAUCUUCAAAGAGAAAGUGCUAACAGAGCAAGCGGCUCAGGAAAGGAGGGAGAGAGUCCUGCCUCACCUGGAGGAGUUCAUGGAGGGGAAGGAGCUCUUUGCCUGUGAGUCUGCUGUCAGAGAUUUUCAGUCCAUCUUGGAAACGCUGGGAGGACCUGGGGAGAAAGAACGAGCUGCGAUGCUUGUGAAAAGAAUUCAAGUGGUGCAAGAUCAGCCAUCUGACCGUGCCUUAGGACUAGUGGCUAGUUCAAAAAUCAACAACCGUUCUCUAACCAUUUUUGGGACAGGAGACACUUUAAAAGCCGUCACCAUGACCGCAAAUAGCGGUUUUGUGAGGGCAGCAGCUAACCAAGGUGUCAGGUUCAGUGUUUUUGUCCAUCAGCCACGGGCAUUGACAGAAAGCAAGGAAUCUGUUGCCACACCUUUACCAAAGAGCUGCCCACCUGGUAAUGGACUAUAAGUCAUUGAAUGAGUCAUUGGAAUGCUGUAGGGGAGGCAUUUGGGGAAACAAGAAUCCUAGCAAUACAUUUUUGGGUGUGUGUCAGUGAAAGCAGUGACUGUUGCAGUGGAAGGGCUCCUCAAGGAAUUUGCAGUAUCUUUACUCAGCCCUUGGGGGAUAUUUUAUUCAGCUGACCAUUAAUUUAUUCGCUAAGAUGUUCUACAUGACCUUGAGAGAGCUGGAUAGGGCUGAUUCUGCACUGGAAGUCAAUGGACCAUAUUCUACAAAGAGAUGAGGACUGAAACUGCAUCCUUCCUGUGCCUCCUGUCUCUUCACUUGUAACAAGAGGCUAACAGCAUGCUCCUUCCUCCUCGGGGUGCAGCAAAGCUAAAUCACAUGGUAUUUGCAACGAUGCUACUAUCAGGAACUGUGGGCUACUUCUGCUUGAAUCUGUGGAGACCCCUAAGAGCAAAGUCUUUGCUCUGCUUGUGGAUUACCCAGCAGAGGGCAACAUCACUCUCGCGCAUGAAAACUGCAUCCCCUGCUUGAGCCAAAACCUGCCAAACGCAAGAGGAAUCUUUUCCUUGGCCUUUAUAGCUCUUUAUAAAUGCAGAUCUUUACUGUUUCUCAAUAUUAGCCGUGCAAUGAAACAGCAGUGUGUGAGCACUCCCAUGGCACUGUUAGCGGCUAGCCUUAGAAAAACAAAGCUUCAAAACCUUCCAGCGCUGGCCAGAAACACAAUAGUCAUUUUUAUUUUGUUAGUGGUUGAUACAGUGCUAAUAUCCAUAACAGCAGUAACUGUGUGGUGCUUUGAGUGCUGUAUGGCUUUGGUUAACUUCUGUCAUUCUUAUCUAUUUAUUUCAUAGUUGAUCUAAGGGUGUCUGAGGUGCAUGUAGCAGGACCUGGAAAAGAAAGAGACCAGGUGGAUCCUGACCUCAUGGAAGUCAAUGGCAGCAAUUUUCUUUCAUUUUCAUGGGAUCAGAACUGCACCUGAUCUUUCCCUUGUAGCUCAUGGCUGUCAAGGUCCUUCUGGACGGACCCAUAUUGUGGUGCUUAAGCUCUUGCCCAGCUCUUAUGGAUCGACCCUGGAACUCGCUGAUGACUUUGCCUCAUCUGAGGCUGUUGAUGGGAUUUAUUGCUAUGACCACCUGGCUCUGCCCCAUGAUCAGACCCUGCAGGACUGCACCCUGUCAGUGAAGGCACAGCUUGUGCUGGGUCACCUGUGGGUCAUGGCACAGCCUUGCUCCUGCUGCUCCCUGACACUGCUCCUUGCAGAGACUGAAUUUAUGCCCUGUGAGAAAUCCCCAAGGAGAAAUUCAGAUCAAACCAUUUAGAGUGAUCGAAGUGAACAAGGGGGUUACAAUAAAUCUUUGCAGGAUCCCAGGUCUCUAAUGUCAAAACGUGCAAUCCUGGAAACAGAAACAGUUGUAUGCAGCUCAACUGAGUGGUAAUGAAGCUCUUGCAUCCACAGGAAGCUGCCCUGUUAGACAUCCAGAUCUACUAAAGAAAAGGCUAGUCCUCAGCCUUGUGCAGAACAACUUAAAAAGUUAGCACUUGAGGUCAAAAGAAUAAGAAUUGAAACCAAAAAUAUCCAGACGAUCCCACUUCCCUUUAUAGUGCUUGGAAUUUAGGAAAUCAAGUGGAUUGCAAGCUAACUUCAUGAUUUAUUGCAGUUUAUUUCCUGAUGCUUGAAUGCCUGUGACUACCCAAACAUGGGAGAUGACAGGUAGUGAUAUUUUUUGUUCACUGUGAGGCAAAAGGGGCAAACUUCAGUGGGUUUUCUAUUGAGCUUCAUGUAUCCACACAAUGAACGCGUAGGAACACUGGUAUUUAAAUCUGAAAUCCUGGUGGGGAAGCAGCUCUCCCCAGAGUACUUAUCUGUAGACUAACAAUUUCUUCACAUUUUAUAUUCUCUUUCUUUUUUUUUUCUCAUUUAUUCUUUAAGAAGUACAAUCCUCAGAAUGACUGGGAAUUUCUUCGAGAUGUUGUUAAUACCAGAUGCAAAUACACAUGUAAAAACUCA